UGGGGAAUUUUGGACAAUGGGCGCAAGCCUGAUCCAGCUAUUCCGCGUGUGGGAAGACGGCCCUCGGGUUGUAAACCACUUUUGUAGAGAACGAAAAGUCUUUGGUUAAGAGCUGAAGACGCUGACGGUACUCUAAGAAUAAGCACCGGCUAACUACGUGCCAGCAGCCGCGGUAAUACGUAGGGUGCGAGCGUUAAUCGGAAUUACUGGGCGUAAAGGGUGUGCAGGCGGUUUUGUAAGACAGAUGUGAAAACCCUGAGCUCAACUCGGGACGUGCAUAUGUGACUGCAAGACUAGAGUGCGUCAGAGGGGGGUGGAAUUCCACGUGUAGCAGUGAAAUGCGUAGAUAUGUGGAAGAACACCGAUGGCGAAGGCAGCCCCCUGGGACGUAACUGACGCUCAUACACGAAAGCGUGGGGAGCAAACAGG
rnacentral:rRNA from 1 species